CAGCCGCCGCGGUAAUACAGAGGGUGCUAGCGUUAAUCGGAAUUACUGGGCGUAAAGCGUGCGCAGGCGGCUAUGCAAGACAGAUGUGAAAUCCCCGGGCUCAACCUGGGAACUGCAUUUGUGACUGCAUGGCUAGAGUACGGUAGGGGGGGAUGGAAUUCCGCGUGUAGCAGUGAAAUGCGUAGAUAUGCGGAGGAACACCGAUGGCGAAGGCAAUCCCCUGGACCUGUACUGACGCUCAUGCACGAAAGCGUGGGGAGCAAACAGGAUUAGAUACCCCAGUAGUCCCUGUCUCUUAUAC
rnacentral:rRNA from 1 species